rnacentral:rRNA from 1 species
UACGUAGGGUGCGAGCGUUAAUCGGAAUUACUGGGCGUAAAGUGUGCGCAGGCGGCACCGCAAGUCGAGUGUGAAAGCCCCGGGCUUAACUUGGGAAUUGCGCUCGAAACUAUGGUGCUGGAGUGUGGCAGAGGAAGGUGGAAUUCCAGGUGUAGCGGUGAAAUGCGCAGAUAUCAGGAGGAACACCAAUUGCGAAGGCAGCUCGCUGGGACGUAACUGACGCUGAGACGCGAAAGCGUGGGGAGCAAACAGG